GGAUCUAGAGGGCAGCAAGGGAGGCCACGCUCACGGAGGUGGUUCCCCCAGGGCAAGGCUAGCCCCACUGCGCUUCGGGUGUUGCAGACGCCUGCCGUGUCCCCAAAUGCGGGAUACUCGACUGCAAAAUUUGUGGUGGUGGGGGUACUGCUCUCCCCUU